CGAACCUGUUCCAAACCCGUUUAGUAUUUUAAUUUUAAUACCUGUACCCGUCCCAAAUCCGUUUAACAAUACCCGCACAAUACCCGAACCCGACCGAAUCCGAUUUUUUUACUAAUUAUCCACCGUUUCUGCAAAGAAACAGGAAAGUGCAAAUCAGCCACAAAGUAACCAUAAACACGAAAGUACAAGAAGCUGUGGGUAAAAAAUAAUCAUCACAAUAAUUUUCUUUCUUGCCAAACAGAAAACGAGAAAUCAAAUUACACAAUAAACAAAUUUAGUUCAAGACAUCUAAAAUCUUGAAACAAAUUAAAAAUAUAGCUAAAUUUAUGAACAAGAAGCAAAAUUAUCUGGGGAAAAGAAAAGAAAUUGUGAAAACAUGUGGUACCGCAUGAACAAGAAGCAAAAUUAUCUGGGGAAAAUGAGAGAAAGGUGAAAUGAGCGGAUCGAGAGAUAGAGAUAAUAUUAAUAUAUAUCGACCAAGAAUAGCGUGAUAUUUAUAAGAAAAGAGAGGUAAAAGAACCGGCAUUAAGCUAGUAGAGAGUUGAGACGUACUCUUUCUCCGGCGAGGUGGUGAGAACUGAGAAAUGGCUUUCUUCUCGCUUUCUCACUCUCACAGCUUCCUCUCCCUCUCUCUCUCCCGACGUCGACGUUUGGCGUGUGGCGCCUUUAUGCUGUUAGUCCGCUAUUGGACUAGAAUUGAGAGAGAAGAUUUAUCAUCGCUUAAGAGAUAAACGAGACGCCGUCGGUGCUCACUGGACUGCCGACAGUCGUCAGUGAAAUGGGGGAGAAAGGCGAUUGGAAAUUAUGGGAAGGGAAGCAGAGGCGCCGACGGAGAGAGAGCUGUGUAUGACCGAGUAAAAUGAAAAAAUAAAUAUUAGGGAUUAGGGUUAGUGUUGUUAGUAUAGGUAUCCGGGUUCGAGUAACGGGUAUCCGAUCACUUAAGUCCGAACCCUACCCGAAUUCGAGACGGGUAAAAAUUUUUAAAUCCGAAUCCGCCCAAAUCCGUUUUGUAAGAACCCAAAUCCGUCCUAAUAGGAUUUGGACGGAUCGGGUACCCGUAAAAACCCGCCCGCCUGCC
rnacentral:lncRNA from 1 species